AUUCUUCUUUUUCACAUAACAUAUGGACACAUCGAAUUCAUGAUAUCUAACUCACUUCACUUUUAGCUAUGAUUCUUAAGAACAAUGUGAUAUCAUUAUCUUUUCAAGUCCAUUAUACUCUUAUGAUAAUGAGGCAUGACUUGGUGAAUCUUGUAGUUUAUCAAACAUGAAAAAUUUUGAUUUCUACUUUUCUUUUGAUUGAAUGUUUGGAAGUUUGUGAAAAAACUUGAAUUUUAUGGCUAAACAUUAGGGCACCACAAACUCCUAACUAAAAUUCCAUUUAUUGUAGCUACCAGCUUCUACUAUGCGAGGUUUUCUGGCAAAAACUUUGUGAUCUUGAAAUUUGAAGAAAACUAUUAAGAAACGUAACUUAUUCUUUGUAACGCCCCAAUGAAAGGUUCUAACCACAUGUCUUAUACUCCAAAAGGACUGGAUCAAUGAUACAAUUGGAGCCUUAUUGAAACAUUAUAAAGAGUAAGAACUUCUCAUUCCCAAGCAAUGUGAGAUCCCAUGCACCACCUACCUUAUCCUCUUAUCAUAUGGGAUAUCACAAUCUCCACUCCUUAAAUUCUUGAUGUCCUCGUCGGGCCAGUCCGUCGUAGUUGGCAUGACUCAAGUCCCAUAUUUAUGGUUGGGAUAAACUCUAAUACCAUUUAUAACAUCCCAAUGGAAGAUCCUAACUACAUGACCUAUACUCCAAAAAGACUAGUCAAUGAUAUAAUUAGAGUCUCAUUGAAACAUUAUAAAGAGUAAAAACUUCUCCUUCCCAAGCAAUGUAGGAUUUCAUACACCAUUUACCUUAUCCUCUUAUCAUAUGGGGUAUCACAUUCUUAUUGUGAAAUUUACCAUAAGAAGAUAUGCCUUCUGAUGGUUUAUUUCUAAUUACAAAGAAAAAAGUUAUUAUUCUAUAUAUUUGAUUCAAAUUUAAAUACAACUUUAGGCAUUUGAUUUCUAUAGAUUUCAAUAGUGUUGCAAUUUUAUUGCAAAAAUGUUAACUGCUUGUAUUUGAAUAUGUUGCCUUCAUGAACCUCAUGUGUUUAUAUCUUUUUGGGGGAGCAAACUGUGGUCUUAGGUGUGAUUUGUACUUAAUGUUUAUGACAAAGGAAGGUUGUAGAUUUCACGGUUUAGGAAGUUAACAUAUGGGGAAAAUACAUUUCCACCUCAAACUAUAGGAUGUUUUGCUCUUUGCACCCUGAAUUACCAAACUUGACACAUUUGCACUCUCCAACCACUAGAAUUUGAUAAAAAGCACUCUAGUCCAGUCUGGUCAUUAGGAUGCAUGGAGAAUAGGUAAAAUAGGUGGCAUUAUACGGUCUUGAUGGUUGGGGUACAAAGUAUAAAACACCAUAUUAUUCCCUUAAUAUAUUUUAGAUAUUUGGUUUUGGUAGAUUUGAUAAAAUGACUAAAGGUGUUUGUGGAAAUUUUCAUUCUUGGAUUAAGAGUAAUCGUAGCAAUGUACAUAAUCCAUGGUGGCAUACUCAAUUGAGCAUCAUGCUAUAGAGAAGGGCCCUGAUAGGGGAGGGUGACUCUCUGUCAUUUGGUUUAAAGGAUUGGAAGUAAAGGUUAGCAUGGAGUGGUGAGGUCUUCCUUGGAGCUUGCCAUUUUCAUUUCUCUUGAAGGGUGAACAGAUAUUGAAAAAAAAGGAAGCCUGUUAAGAGGGUUUUGAAAAGUUAGGUCCUUGCCCUCUUGCAACUAGAAGAAUGGAAAGGGCGCUGAGGGGGAAGAAAGGGGAGUGGAGGUGGACUCUAUUUGUCAUUCAGUUGAAAGGUAGGGGGGAAAAAAAUUGAAAGCAUGGCUUCUCCUACUACGCCAAAUGUUUUCAACCCUCCCCAAAGUGGAGAGAUUGGAGGAAGGAAAGGGAGCUUGUUUAGAGGGGCUUUUACAUUUAUGCGCUUGCCCUUACAUAUGCCAUUCCAAUCAGGGUAUAGUGUCAAAACUAUCUAUUGAUUUCAUUUCUCUUUUCUUCCAACCAAAUAUUACACUUUUUUCCAGUUUCCUUUUUUCUUGUGAUUGUUUUGCCAUUGAGCUAUGAAAAAGGGUCAUAUUCUCUGUUUUAUUUUUUUAUGAUAACGUUAUUCUGUACCUGAACUAAGCCUUGACUCAACCAUCUUAAAACCUAGAAGGAGUGAUGCAUUUUACAUGCGAUGGUUGAUUUAUGAUAUUAUUUUUCCUGUACACUUAGUGUUUGAAUAACCAAGAAGCUAGAAUGAAGGUAUUAUGCAAGCAUAAAAAAACCUAUGAUGAUUUUGGGGCUAGGAAUGAUUGAUCUACAUCAUAACAUAAUAGGAUUUGGGUGUAGGCUUUUUUGGGAUCUAGACUGAAAAUGGAUGGGUAGAAAUUGUGGCUGGAUGAUGUUAUUUCCUUCAAGCAUGCUCUUAUUCUUAUAACUGGAAGCAAUUGUUCGGAAUGAUCCUUUUAUUUAUGUAUUUGCUCCGCUGCCUUUUUUCCUGUGGUCUAAAAGUGAAAAACUGCCCCUUUCCCCAAACCAGGAUUUCCUUGUUGCUUUCUCUGGCCUCUAUUUUCAUCUGUUUAUACAUAGACUUGUGGAUCGAGUUGCCUAGCCUAGUGGAGAAUCUCAAUACCAAGGUUGUUUUCCUGUUUGUGUUGAUGCUUUGUAGCUAAAUUUGGUAGUUUUUAUAUUAUACUUACAAACAUAUUUGUAUACUCUGGUGAAAGAUCAAUGGUGGUUAGCUUAUCCAAAAAAAAAAGGGGUCCUGGUGUGCCAGCCAUGUUAAGUUGUGUACUUAUAGCUUGCUCAUUUAAA